rnacentral:rRNA from 1 species
GACGAACGCUGGCGGCGUGCUUAACACAUGCAAGUCGAACGCUGAAGCCCUUCGGGGUGGAUGAGUGGCGAACGGGUGAGUAACACGUGGGUAAUCUGCCCUGCACUCUGGGAUAAGCCUUGGAAACGGGGUCUAAUACCGGAUAGGACCCAUCGCCGCAUGGUGUGUGUGUGGAAAGUUCCGGCGGUGCAGGUUGAGCCCGCGGCCGAUCAGCUUGUUGGUGGGGUGAUGGCCUACCAAGGCGACGACGGGUAGCCGGCCUGAGAGGGUGACCGGCCACACUGGGACUGAGACACGGCCCGGACUCCUACGGGAGGCAGCAGUGGGGAAUCUUGCGCAAUGGGCGAAAGCCUGACGCAGCAACGCCGCGUGGGGGAUGACGGCCUUCGGGUUGUAAACCUCUUUCGACCGGGACGAAGGAUUCGUUUGACGGUACCGGUAGAAGAAGCACCGGCUAACUACGUGCCAGCCGCCGCCGUAA